rnacentral:rRNA from 1 species
UACAGAGGGGGCAAGCGUUGUUCGGAAUUACUGGGCGUAAAGGGCGCGUAGGCGGCCCGCUAAGUCGAACGUGAAAUCCCCGAGCUCAACUCGGGAACUGCGUCCGAUACUGGCAGGCUUGAAUCCGGGAGAGGGAUGCGGAAUUCCUGGUGUAGCGGUGAAAUGCGCAGAUAUCAGGAGGAACACCGAUGGCGAAGGCAGGUCUCUGGGCAUUAACUGACGCUGAGGAGCGAAAGCAUGGGGAGCGAACAGG